GCGAUGUCCUGUAGCAAAAUUUGCCUACAAUCUUUGACCGUUCGUUUUAUUUAAAAAAAUUAUGAAAAAAUUUAAAAAGAUAAGUCACGCAUAAAGUAUUAUUCAUGUUUUAUCAUCUAAUAAAAAUAAAAAUAUUAAUCAUAAAAAAAUUAUAUAAGACUGACGGUCAAAUAUUGGACACAGAAACCCACGAAUCAACUUAUU
rfam:Oryza rufipogon genomic scaffold, chr11